rnacentral:rRNA from 1 species
UACGUAGGUGACAAGCGUUGUCCGGAUUUACUGGGCGUAAAGAGCGCGCAGGCGGUCGUUCAAGUCGAGUGUGAAAGCCCCCGGCUCAACUGGGGAGGGUCAUUCGAUACUGAUCGACUCGAAGGCAGGAGAGGGAAGUGGAAUUCCCGGUGUAGUGGUGAAAUGCGUAGAUAUCGGGAGGAACACCGAUGGCGAAGGCAGGUCUCUGGGCAUUAACUGACGCUGAGGAGCGAAAGCAUGGGGAGCGAACAGG